ensembl:snRNA U6 U6 spliceosomal RNA
GCACUCGCUUCAGCAGCACAUAUGCUAAAACUGGAAUAAUGCAGGGAAGGUUAGCAUGGCCCCUGAGCAAGAAUGACACAUAAAUUUAUAAAGAUUCCAUAUUUUUU